GAUAGACAUCCACUAGGUACACUGGGGAAGAUAGACAUCCACUAGGUACACUGGGGAAGAUAGACAUCCACUAGGUACAUAUCACAGCACUGGGGAAGAUAGACAUCCACUAGGUACACUGGGGAAGAUAGACAUCCACUAGGUACACUGGGGAAGAUAGACAUCCACUAGGUACACUGGGGAAGAUAGACAUCCACUAGGUACACUGGGGAAGAUAGAC